rnacentral:tRNA from 3 species
CGGGGCGUGGCUCAGCUUGGUAGAGCGCUUCCUUGGGGUGGAAGAGGUCGUGGGUUCAAAUCCCGUCGCUCCGACCA